rnacentral:rRNA from 1 species
GACGAACGCUGGCGGCGUGCCUAAUACAUGCAAGUCGAACGCAUUUUCUUUCACCGUAGCUUGCUACACCGAAAGAAAAUGAGUGGCGAACGGGUGAGUAACACGUGGGUAACCUGCCCAUCAGCGGGGGAUAACACUUGGAAACAGGUGCUAAUACCGCAUAAUUCCAUUUACCGCAUGGUAGAUGGGUGAAAGGCGCUUUUGCGUCACUGAUGGUUGGACCCGCGGUGCAUUAGCUAGUUGGUGGGGUAACGGCCUACCAAGGCUGCGAUGCAUAGCCGACCUGAGAGGGUGAUCGGCCACACUGGGACUGAGACACGGCCCAGACUCCUACGGGAGGCAGCAGUAGGGAAUCUUCGGCAAUGGACGCAAGUCUGACCGAGCAACGCCGCGUGAGUGAAGAAGGUUUUCGGAUCGUAAAACUCUGUUGUUAGAGAAGAACAAGGAUGAGAGUGGAAAGUUCAUCCCUUGACGGUAUCUAACCAGAAAGCCACGGCUAACUACGUG